rnacentral:rRNA from 1 species
UACGUAGGGUGCGAGCGUUGUCCGGAAUUAUUGGGCGUAAAGAGCUCGUAGGCGGCCUGUCGCGUCGGUUGUGAAAGCCCGGGGCUUAACCCCGGGUCUGCAGUCGAUACGGGCAGGCUAGAGUUCGGUAGGGGAGAUCGGAAUUCCUGGUGUAGCAGUGAAAUGCGCAGAUAUCAGGAGGAACACCGGUGGCGAAGGCGGAUCUCUGGGCCGAUACUGACGCUGAGGAGCGAAAGCGUGGGGAGCGAACAGG